GACGAACCGUGCGAACGUUAUUCGGAAUUACUGGGCUUAAAGCGCGUGUAGGCGGGCCGGCACGUCGAUCGCUGAAAUCCCCCGGCUCAACCGGGGAACUGGCGCCGAUACGACCGGCCUGGAGGGGCGUAGGGGGGACUGGAACUUCCGGUGGAGCGGUGAAAUGCGUUGAGAUCGGAAGGAACGCCCGUGGCGAAAGCGAGUCCCUGGACGCCUGCUGACGCUGAGACGCGAAAGCCAGGGGAGCGAACGGG
rnacentral:rRNA from 1 species